GUUUUCAAGUUUAUAGGGCAAAUUCGUAAUGAGGCGGCUGGGACGCGGGAAGUGGGGGUGCUUAGGGUGCUGCAGCACCCUAAGCAAUACCCUGGCUGUAACUACAAAAGGCAAAACUUCGCGAUCAAAACACCAGCCGGACAUCCAAUUCCCUGCAUUCCCUAUGUGACCUGUCCAUAGCUCAAUAUAAUGGCUCUGUGGCGGACCAUACGGACUCAUGGUGGAAUUGCAUUUCCUGGUUACAAGCUUUCAUCGACAAAGUGGUCCACUCCCACAAGCAGCAACAGGUGUCAACCUUCAAUAUCAAAAGAGCCAUUUCUGGUCCCCCGCACCAAAUAAAAUUGAUCUGGAGCCAUAAAACCUAUUCGACCCCUAAAAUGAAGAUAACACAGCAUCUAGUGUUUUAUAUAUCUUUAUACUACAUAUAAGAGAAAAAAUAGCCUAUAGCCUACUUUGUUUCGUUUAAGAAAUGGGUGUAGCAUGUGACUUUUAUUUUAACUGACAAUAAUAAUAAUAAUAAAAAAGAAGUGCCACAGUAUCACUUUGAUCUCCAAAAUAAGAGGUGUUCCCUUUGAGAAAGUUUUUAUUAUUUAUCAAAAGCCACAGGGUGGUGGAAGAGACCCAUUCGGAGAGCCGCGGGUUGUUGAGAGAGAGCGCGGGGCGUUGCAACGCGUUGUCAAAAGAUGACGAGCAGUAAAAGACGGGAUGUCCUCCUUUUGGGAAUAGGCCCGCACCCUUACUUACUUUCAAGCCACAAAAUCACCGGGAAAUAAGAUCAAUAUGUGGAGAAAUCUGUGAAAUUGAAAGAGAGACAGACAUUCCCCAACGGCAUAGGUCGUUAAGGACAAUUUAAAGUACCCGUUUAAUUGGUUGCAUAUGAUGUCUUUGCACAUGCUGUUAUUAUAAGGGAAUGAUAAGUUUUUGACCGUUUUAUAUGGCGUUCCAUAUCCUCUGCCCUUUGAAGCAAAACGGGAAGACAAAGGAUCAAUUAUAAAGGCUCCUCUCCAACAGCUGUGUGUCCCUAGCUUUCCAUAUGGCCUUAGUUAGAGGGUGGGUUGAGGAAUGACAUGGCAAUACCGUGGAUAUUUAUCAAAGGAACUGACUGUGAGGAAGAGAUAGUAACACAUGAUGGCCUUUGCGUCACGAGUGCAGGAACACACGCACACGCAUGCACGCGCACGCACACGCACACACAAACAAACACACGCACACACGCGCAC
ensembl:lncRNA